rnacentral:rRNA from 1 species
GACGUAGGGCGCGAGCGUUGUCCGGAUUUAUUGGGCGUAAAGAGCUCGUAGGCGGCUUGUCGCGUCGACUGUGAAAACCCGCGGCUCAACUGCGGGCCUGCAGCCGAUACGGGCAGGCUAGAGUUCGGUAGGGGAGACUGGAAUUCCUGGUGUAGCGGUGAAAUGCGUAGAUAUCAGGAGGAACACCGAUGGCGAAGGCAGCUGCCUGGCCUAGAACUGACGCUGAGGUGCGAAAGCGUGGGGGAGCGAACAGG